rnacentral:rRNA from 1 species
AGAGUUUGAUCAUGGCUCAGAUUGAACGCUGGCGGCAGGCCUAACACAUGCAAGUCGAACGGUAGCAGGAAACAGCUUGCUGUUUCGCUGACGAGUGGCGGACGGGUGAGUAAUGUCUGGGAAGCUGCCUGAUGGAGGGGGAUAACUACUGGAAACGGUAGCUAAUACCGCAUAACGUCGCAAGACCAAAGAGGGGGACCUUCGGGCCUCUUGCCAUCAGAUGUGCCCAGAUGGGAUUAGCUAGUAGGUGGGGUAACGGCUCACCUAGGCGACGAUCCCUAGCUGGUCUGAGAGGAUGACCAGCCACACUGGAACUGAGACACGGUCCAGACUCCUACGGGAGGCAGCAGUGGGGAAUAUUGCACAAUGGGCGCAAGCCUGAUGCAGCCAUGCCGCGUGUAUGAAGAAGGCCUUCGGGUUGUAAAGUACUUUCAGCGGGAAGGAAGGGAGUAAAGUUAAUACCUUUGCUCAUUGACGUUACCCGCAGAAGAAGCACCGGCUAACUCCGUGCCAGCAGCCGCGGUAAUACGGAGGGUGCAAGCGUUAAUCGGAAUUACUGGGCGUAAAGCGCACGCAGGCGGUUUGUUAAGUCAGAUGUGAAAUCCCCGGGCUCAACCUGGGAACUGCAUCUGAUACUGGCAAGCUUGAGUCUCGUAGAGGGGGGUAGAAUUCCAGGUGUAGCGGUGAAAUGCGUAGAGAUCUGGAGGAAUACCGGUGGCGAAGGCGGCCCCCUGGACGAAGACUGACGCUCAGGUGCGAAAGCGUGGGGAGCAAACAGGAUUAGAUACCCUGGUAGUCCACGCCGUAAACGAUGUCGACUUGGAGGUUGUGCCCUUGAGGCGUGGCUUCCGGAGCUAACGCGUUAAGUCGACCGCCUGGGGAGUACGGCCGCAAGGUUAAAACUCAAAUGAAUUGACGGGGGCCCGCACAAGCGGUGGAGCAUGUGGUUUAAUUCGAUGCAACGCGAAGAACCUUACCUGGUCUUGACAUCCACGGAAGUUUUCAGAGAUGAGAAUGUGCCUUCGGGAACCGUGAGACAGGUGCUGCAUGGCUGUCGUCAGCUCGUGUUGUGAAAUGUUGGGUUAAGUCCCGCAACGAGCGCAACCCUUAUCCUUUGUUGCCAGCGGUCCGGCCGGGAACUCAAAGGAGACUGCCAGUGAUAAACCGGAGGAAGGUGGGGAUGACGUCAAGUCAUCAUGGCCCUUACGACCAGGGCUACACACGUGCUACAAUGGCGCAUACAAAGAGAAGCGACCUCGCGAGAGCAAGCGGACCUCAUAAAGUGCGUCGUAGUCCGGAUUGGAGUCUGCAACUCGACUCCAUGAAGUCGGAAUCGCUAGUAAUCGUGGAUCAGAAUGCCACGGUGAAUACGUUCCCGGGCCUUGUACACACCGCCCGUCACACCAUGGGAGUGGGUUGCAAAAGAAGUAGGUAGCUUAACCUUCGGGAGGGCGCUUACCACUUUGUGAUUCAUGACUGGGGUGAAGUCGUAACAAGGUAACCGUAGGGGAACCUGCGGUUG